AUGAACGCUGGCGGCGUGCCUAAUACAUGCAAGUCGCGCGAACAGACGAGGAGCUUGCUCCUCUGACGUUAGCGGCGGACGGGAGAGUAACACGUGGAUAACCUACCUAUAAGACUGGGAUAACUUCGGGAAACCGGAGCUAAUACCGGAUAAUAUAUUGAACCGCAUGGUUCAAUAGUGAAAGACGGUUUUGCUGUCACUUAUAGAUGGAUCCGCGCCGCAUUAGCUAGUUGGUAAGGUAACGGCUUACCAAGGCAACGAUGCGUAGCCGACCUGAGAGGAUGAUCGGCCCCACUGGAACUGAGACACGGUCCAGACUCCUACGGGAGGCAGCAGUAGGGAAUCUUCCGCAAUGGGCGAAAGCCUGACGGAGCAACGCCGCGUGAGUGAUGAAGGUCUUCGGAUCGUAAAACUCUGUUAUUAGGGAAGAACAAAUGUGUAAGUAACUAUGCACGUCUUGACGGUACCUAAUCAGAAAGCCACGGCUAACUACGUG
rnacentral:rRNA from 1 species